rnacentral:rRNA from 1 species
AGAUUGAACGCUGGCGGCAUGCCUAACACACGCAAGUCGAACGGGAGUAGCAAUACUCUAGUGGCGGACGGGUGAGGAAUACGUAGGAAUUUGCCCUUAAGUGGGGGAUAACCCGGGAAACCCGGAUUAAUACCGCAUGACCUCGAAAGAGCAAAGUGGGGGAUCGCAAGACCUCACGCUUUUGGAGAAGCCUACGUCGGAUUAGCUAGUUGGUGAGGUAAUGGCUCACCAAGGCGACGAUCCGUAACUGGUCUGAGAGGAUGAUCAGUCACACCGGAACUGAGACACGGUCCGGACUCCUACGGGAGGCAGCAGUGGGAAUAUUGGACAAUGGGCGCAAGCCUGACCCAGCAAUGCCGCGUGUGUGAAGAAGGCCUUGGUUGUAAAGCACUUUAAGUGGGAGGAAAAAACUCGACUCUAACACAGUGAAGUCUUGACGGUACCGACAGAAUAAGACGACCGGCUAACUC